AAUGUCGUAACAAGGUCUCCGUAGGUGAACCUGCGGAGGGAUCAUUACCAAAGAUGGCGGCCUCCGGGUCCCCGGUCCCCAACCCUUUGUUGCCAAAAUCCUUUUGCCUCGGGGACAGAGCGUCCGUCGCCGCCCCUGGAGGACCACCGAACGCUGUCUCUUUACGUCGGAGUAUUGAUUAAAUAAAUGAAAG
rnacentral:misc_RNA from 1 species